GAAACUUAAAGUAGAUCCAUUAUGUGCUAUUCGUCCUGUGGAUCUUGUGGAAGCUCUGGUCAAUAUUGUGGAGGCUAUGGACCAUACUGCGGACCUUGUGGAGGCUACGGACUGUACGUUGGUAGGUGAGGAUCAUGCUACGGGGGCUGUGGAAAUUUCUGUUAGAAUCUUCAGAACGAAAUCUAGGAUUUCCCAUAAUAACAAGCUGCCGGACUCUUUUGGUGAAUUCUUUAAUUCUUUGUGAAUGAAAACGCUUUGUCAUAAGUACUCAGCCAUAUUUAUAAUAAUCACAGUAGCCAAAGAAAUUGAAAUUUCUCAAACAUAGCUACGAAGUCAGAAUUAGGACAAAUAAUGUUCAUUCCAAUUUUUAGACUUGUCCAGUAAACAUCUGAACCUUUUUGUGAACUUUUUGUGGGACUUCUCUCGAUUUUAAAAUUUGAAGAGAUAAUUUGAAUAAAAGAAGGAUCCCAGAUAGUACCUAUUUCUGUGAAGAAUCAAAAGUCCACUUUAUUCAAGAUGUGUUAUCCAUGCUAUUCGUGCUGUGGAUCUUGCGGACUUUGCGGAUCUUGCUGUUCACCAUGUUACGGACCUCGUGGCGGCUGUGGACCAUUUUGUGGUCCUUGUGGUGGAUGCGGACCUUGCUAUGGGGGUUGCGGACCGUGCUGCGGGGGUUGUGGAAAUUUCUGUUAGAAUCUUCAGAACGAAAUCUAGGUGUCCCACAAUUAGUAUCGCAGAAACAAUGUAAAUCAACUUCUCUGUGGUGUUCCUGCAUUAAGUUUUCCAAUUGUUGCUUGGCAUUUUUCUGCGUCAAUUUCAGAUUACUUUCGGCAUUGAGUAUUUGCGAUGUCAAAAAUAUUGGUUUGACCUUGAACCCGUGAUCAAUCUAAGUACUCUAGGUUUUGGAUACUUGAGCAUUACAAAACAUAUUAAUAUUGGCUAAGAACAAUAAAAUGUAACAUACGUAGAUUGGUAAAGGGCUGCAUAUGAGCAAUAAAAUAUGACAAUACAACGUACGUAGAUCUGCAUAUAGUGUGAGCGAUUUUUGCUGGUUCAUAUGAGUGUACUAGCUCAGCAAGAGUGAUGUAGACAAUACACAAUAUUAAAUUUUAUGUAAUAAUAGAACAAAAACGCAAAAACGUGUUCAAUAUUAAAACAUCUUAGUAGUACAUGAAAUUGAUAUUCAUAAAACUUAUCUACGAACUAUCCCAGAUAGUACCUAUUUCUGUGAAGAAUCUAAAGUCCACUUUAUUCAAGAUUUGUUAUCCUUGCUAUUCGUGCUGUGGAUCUUGUGGCGGAUGUGGACCAUUUUGUGGUCCCUGUGGUGGUUGCGGACCGUGCUGCGGGGGCUGUGGAAAUUUCUGUUAGUAUCUUCAGAACGAAAUCUAGGUGUCCCACAAUUAGUAUCGCAAAAACAAAAAUAAAAUUUUAAAGUGUCAAAAUAAAUGGAAUAUAAACUCUAAUUUAAUAUUGGUUUGACUUUAAACCCCGUGAUCAUAUUUGCUAAGAAUAAUAAAAUAUAACGUACGUAGAUGUGCAUAGUGAGCGCGGUUUUCCCUAGUUCGUAUGAGAGUGUAUUACAUUAGAUCAGUUAGAGUGAUGUAGAAAAUACACUUAAUAUCAAAUUCUAUGCAGAAAAAGAACAUUGCUUCCUGGUGUGAUGUUCUUCUAAAACGCAUUUAAAUGUUUAAAAAUAAAACUUAAAAUCUUAGUAGUCUAUGAAAUUGAAAUUCAUAAGACUUGGCUACGAUGCUGGAAGAAAUACAAUUAAUGUCCAUUCCAAUUUUUAGGCUUGUCCAGUAAACAUCUGAACCUUUUUGUGAACUUUUUGUGGGACUUCUAUCAAAUGUUUAUUUGUUUUUUGUAACAAAGUAACAUUCAUAAGUUAAAUUGGGAGAUAAUUAGAAGUAAAGACAAGCGAACGAUCCCAAAUAGUACCUAUUUCUGUGAAGAAUCAAAAGUCCACUUUAUUCGAGAUGUGUUAUCCAUGCUAUUCGUGCUGUGGAUCUUGCGGACCCUGCGGAUCUUGCUAUUCACCAUGUUGCGGGCCUUGUGGCGGCUGUGGACCAUAUUGUGGUCCCUGUGGUGGAUGUGGACCUUGCUAUGGUGGUUGCGGACCGUGCUGCGGGGGCUGUGGACCUUGCUGUUAGUAUCUUCAGAACGAAAUCUAGGUGUCCCACAAUUAGUAUCGCAGAAACAAUAUAAAUAAAAUUUUAAAGUGUCAAAAUAAA